AUGCUUGCUUCAGCAGCACAUAUACUAAAAUUGGAAUGAUAAAGAGAAGAUUAGCAUAGCCCCUGCGCAAGGAUGACAGGUAAAUUAGUGAAGAAUUCCAUAUUUUU
rnacentral:snRNA from 14 species